rnacentral:rRNA from 2 species
UAGAUGAAACAGGGUUCUGCUAUCGCUUUUAGAUGGACCCGCGGCGUAUUAACUAGUUGGUGGGGUAACGGCCUACCAAGGUGAUGAUACGUAGCCGAACUGAGAGGUUGAUCGGCCACAUUGGGACUGAGACACGGCCCAAACUCCUACGGGAGGCAGCAGUAGGGAAUCUUCCACAAUGGACGCAAGUCUGAUGGAGCAACGCCGCGUGAGUGAAGAAGGUCUUCGGAUCGUAAAACUCUGUUGUUAGAGAAGAACACGAGUGAGAGUAACUGUUCWUKYRWUGACGGUAUCUAACCAGMAAGYCACGGCUAACUACGUGCCAGCAGCCGCGGUAAUACGUAGGUGGCAAGCGUUGUCCGGAUUUAUUGGGCGUAAAGGGAACGCAGGCGGUCYUUUAAGUCUGAUGUGAAAGCCUUCGGCUUAACCG